GAUGAACGCUGGCGGCGUGCUUAACACAUGCAAGUCGAACGAUGAAGCCCAGCUUGCUGGGUGGAUUAGUGGCGAACGGGUGAGUAACACGUGAGUAACCUGCCCUUAACUCUGGGAUAAGCCUGGGAAACUGGGUCUAAUACCGGAUAGGAGCGUCCACCGCAUGGUGGGUGUUGGAAAGAUUUAUCGGUUUUGGACGGACUCGCGGCCUAUCAGCUUGUUGGUGAGGUAAUGGCUCACCAAGGCGACGACGGGUAGCCGGCCUGAGAGGGUGACCGGCCACACUGGGACUGAGACACGGCCCAGACUCCUACGGGAAGCAGCAGUGGGGAAUAUUGCACAAUGGGCGCAAGCCUGAUGCAGCGACGCCGCGUGAGGGAUGACGGCCUUCGGGUUGUAAACCUCUUUCAGUAGGGAAGAAGCGAAAGUGACGGUACCUGCAGAAGAAGCACCGGCUAACUACGUG
rnacentral:rRNA from 1 species